GCCUGGGUGGCUCAGUCGGUUAAGCGUCUGACUUCAGCUCAGGUCAUGAUCUCACGGUCUGUGGGUUCGAGCCCCACGUCGGGCU
rnacentral:tRNA from 1 species